UUUGUGUAAAUCGGAACAUUAACGUUAUAAUACGAGUAAGUAUGUUUAUCAUUAUAAAACUUGGCAAGCACCAGUCGGACUUGAGUCGAAGUAUUUUUUUUUUUAUUCAAUAACUCAACACUUAAGUCGACUAAGAUUUCAACUGACGAGUACCUACAAAUUAUUAUGAUUUAUGUGAAACAGUGGACGCGGCAUAAUAUGAGAGAACAGCGUUCCUAUCGACCUAGUCAACCAGGACUAUUUUCUGCCACUAACUCUUCUACCGGCAACCUUUCCCAUCAUGAAAAACCUCAGAGAGGCACUCAAAGAAGAAGAAGAUAAUAUGAGGAACUUCUAGUCGCCAGUUACUUAGCGAAGCAAACUGUUAAGGAUUUUUUGAAGAUAACUUUAAAGUGCCCAUCAUUCCGUUCCGGCAUCCCCUCCCCAAGAGUAUUGUAAGUAUUAAGGUAUUAACGUUCGUUUGUCAUUUGUGGUAUAGCCCCCGAAUGACAAAAUGAAAAUAGUCGAAUGGCAGAUACAUCUUAAAGUAUCAGAACGAUUAUUUAUUUAUCGCUAUAGUAAAGGUUGGAGUACAAAGAGGUAAGGUUUGAUUUUUUCUUAUAGACUAUUUUUUAUAAUAGACUCCAAAACUACCGAUUUUUUAAAUCAUUUUACUAAUAGAAAACUGUUUUAUCAGCGAGUGACAUGAUAAGUAUGCCGGUGAGAUUGCGAGAGUUCUGCUACUGUCAAAAUAAAUACAUUUAUUCACAGAGCGUAAAUAGGUACCUACUAAAGUACAUUUGUCUCGGCGCCCAAUGAAUUCGUCCCGUAUGGCCCGUGGGGCAGGAGCGCCCAGAGGCCCAGACUCUCCAUGAGGAGUUCAGCAAACGUUUCAAGGAGGCACCAGGCGACCCUCGGGCAGGCAGCUUUUCCGCGCAAACAAUUUCAGUAACAAUUCAAUGCGGGAAUGCUGCCCGCGUGAGUCUUAGCUUUCAUUAUUUAAUUUUUUUUAGUGUUAUUGUGUCUCUGUGGGUUUAAAUCUUAAUAAAGUGUUGUUUAAUUGUCUACUACAUAUGCUUAUCAUUACAUCAACUAAGAUUCAUAAUUAUUUAAUUAAUGAAU